rnacentral:rRNA from 1 species
UACGGGGGGGGCAAGCGUUGUUCGGAAUUAUUGGGCGUAAAGGGCUCGUAGGCGGCCAACUAAGUCAGACGUGAAAUCCCCAGGCUCAACCUGGGAACUGCGUCUGAUACUGGAUGGCUUGAAUCCGGGAGAGGGAUGCAGAAUUCCAGGUGUAGCGGUGAAAUGCGUAGAUAUCUGGAGGAAUACCGGUGGCGAAGGCGGCAUCCUGGACCGACAUUGACGCUGAGGAGCGAAAGCUAGGGGAGCAAACGGG